UACGGGGGGGGCAAGCGUUGUUCGGAAUUACUGGGCGUAAAGGGCUCGUAGGCGGCCAACUAAGUCAGACGUGAAAUCCCCAGGCUCAACCUGGGAACUGCGUCUGAUACUGGAUGGCUUGAAUCCGGGAGAGGGAUGCAGAAUUCCAGGUGUAGCGGUGAAAUGCGUAGAUAUCUGGAGGAAUACCGGUGGCGAAGGCGGCAUCCUGGACCGGCAUUGACGCUGAGGAGCGAAAGCGUGGGGGAGCGAACAGG
rnacentral:rRNA from 1 species